UCGCGCCACUUUGGUUCAGAAUUUCGUCGCUACGUUCGAAUUGUCAUGACAACGAAAUGGGAUUUGGGAAUCUGGAGUCUGGACGUAAACAUUAAAAUGGCUGCCUCCUUGAACAACGUGGUGGUUGUCUUCGCGUCUGCGCAAGUUUUGCUUAAAAUAAUGGAAAGAUUUUGUACCACCAUGUUUUGUACCGUUUUGUACACUCCCUGUGAGCACCAGCAACGAAUUGUUGGUGCUUGAAGCAAAACUCCUCCUGGAGUUAUCCGUUCAUGAGUCUCUGAGUUAUUGGGCUUGGAAACCAGUUGUAAUAAAGUGGAUGUAUUCUAUUGGAAAUACAAAGACAAUAUUGCUACUGAUCGCCACUGUUAUUAUUGUGGUAGGAGUUAGAAAGGAGUCGUCAUACACAUUAUUUCAAUGGCUGCUAAUAAGUUCCUCUCCUUGCAUGUGCUGGAGAUGGUGGAUCCUUCAAUUAUUCAACUUUCAAUAAUCAAAUGGAGAAAUGCUUUGUUUAAGAACAAUGAAAGUCCCUGGUCAUGAGGUCCGGAUUCGUGCACUAGCUUUUACUGUUUAAUUAUUGAAUAGCUCUUAAUGUUAUUAUGACUAUGAAAAGGAAUACCUUCGCGUUCCGUUGAUGGAGUGCACCAAUCCGGAAACGAAUCAAUUUGGAUUCUGCUGCCUAGACCCCCUUUGUGAAGACCCAUGGCCUCCUGGUACGCCCAUGCUAAGAAUGAUAAACAAAGUUCCAGCACCUUCAGGUCCGGCUCAUGUGAAUUGCCCUACCGUGUCGACAUCCAAAUACGUCCGAGGUCGUCCGCCCACCAGCGGUUUCUACAGCUUUCUACCUUUAACAACAUUGCAGCAAAUGGCAAUCGUCCAACUGUUACAACCACAGUUGCCGUGUCUUCAAGAAGCCACGGAAGACCAUCAGUGUCUUCUAUAGAAGCCGGAGCUUCGUCAUUCCACAAAACAUCACAAGCCCAGCAGCCAUAUAAAAAUUACCUUCCACAGGUCUACUACUGUUUAAACACAGCGACCGGUCAUUAAUCAUUAACCUGCAACCGGCUUCUCUCAUCCUCCCACUCCGGCUUAUCAACCAACUUCAGCACCAACACAGAGACCUAUUCAACAGGCUCUUUUGGUCCAGCAACCUUCUCGUCCGUUCUACCUACCACCUUCUCCUCCUGCGUCACAAGGUUCUCAGACUGAGAAACAGACUAACAUUGUUCAAGGUCCUCCAACAUUUACCGGUUGCACUGCCGCCCUAAAAUGCGUCACGGAAGAAUUCUGAAAUGUCGAUGGUGUCGUGGUUAGCACUCAUGUGAGAUUAUCUCCUUACGAGAAGGAAUACCUUCGCGUUCCAUUGAUGUGUACGAAUCCAGAAACUAAUCAAGUUGGUUUCUGUUGCCGCGAUUCUUUUAUGAAGACCAUUGACCAGCUGGUAUCCCGAUGCUUGGAACGAUGAACAAAGUGCAAACAAGUCCGGCUUUAUCGGUGAAUCGAGCUGUAUUCUCAGCAUUUGCUUAUGCCGUUUUGAAAUCCAACAACGUCUGGUCACCAGUUUCGCCAUUUAACUACUUUGUAGCAAACGACAAUGGCCCAAUUGUUACAGUCACAGCAUCCGUUCGGUCGCAGACCGAUCGCCCAUCAAUCCGCUGUUAAUGAACCGAUCGCUUUUCCUGCUUACCAAUUACCAUCGCAAUCCUAUCUACCACCACCUGCACAAAAACCUACCACGGCUCGUCAAGUGACUCCGGCCCAGCAACCUGCCCGCCCUGCACACCUAGCUGUUAACAAGCUUUAUCUGCUUUUCAACCUCAAUAACAAGCAUCUCAGAGCCAGGAGACAAAUUGUAGCAGGUCCUUCAGUUCCGUCUCAUGCUGAAUAAACGGAGGAAUUCAGUAGUGUUGAUGGCGUUGGUAAACACACCUCUUUGGCUUUCGAGAAGGAAUAUCUUCGUGUCCCCUUGAUGCCUUGUUUGAACACGGAAAACAAUCAAGAAGGAUUUUUUUUUGCAGGUCCAUUGUUUAACGACCCAUGGCCUGCUGGUUGCCUAUGCCAUAAUAACAUCCUCCAUGCUGACGAAUUCGGAUCGGACAAAAUCAUAUCACAUAUUUGCUUUUGUGUUCGAGUUUUUUUUUGUUGUUAUUUUUAACUAUUUGUGGACUACAUUCAACCUCAAUUUUGGUAUGAUAGCAAUUCUGUAACUGUAGUCUUGUCACACACAUACCCUGUAUUUACCUGUUCCCCGUCAUCAGUGGCGGCAGCCCGCGCUUGUGUGGCCACGUUUACAUCGACGUCCAGACGACCAGGACGACCAAUUUGAUCACGUUUCACGCAAUCGAGCUCACCAUCAUCGACGUUAGCGUGCGGAGUGUCGGGAACGAAACGGCCGCUUUCAAUCCGGCCAUCGACGACCGAUUUCUCCAGCUGGAGGAUCUCUGCUUCUCGGGUCUUUUCGUUCAAACCUCCAAGGAAUUUCAGACGAUCCAGGAGGAGCCGGAGCGGGA
rnacentral:lncRNA from 1 species